rnacentral:rRNA from 1 species
CCUACGUGAGGCAGCAGUGGGGAAUAUUGCGCAAUGGGCGAAAGCCUGACGCAGCGACGCCGCGUGAGGGAUGAAGGUCUUCGGAUCGUAAACCUCUGUCAGCAGGGAAGAACGGUCACUGUGCUAAUCAGCAGUGAAUUGACGGUACCUGCAAAGGAAGCACCGGCUAACUCCGUGCCAGCAGCCGCGGUAAUACGGAGGGUGCGAGCGUUAAUCGGAAUUACUGGGCGUAAAGCGCUCGUAGGCGGUAUGUCAAGUCAAGGGUGAAAUCCCCGCGCUCAACGUGGGAACUGCCUUUGAAACUGGCAAACUGGAGUGUGUGAGAGGAUAGUGGAAUGCCAGGUGUAGGAGUGAAAUCCGUAGAGAUCUGGAGGAACAUCAGUGGCGAAGGCGACUAUCUGGCACAUAACUGACGCUGAGGAGCGAAAGCGUGGGUAGCAAACAGGAUUAGAUACCCGGGUAGUC